ensembl:miRNA pma-mir-15a pma-mir-15a
GGAGCUGUAGCAGCACGUAAUGGUUUGUAUUUGGGAUGUCAGGAGUUACAGACCAUGCUGUGCUGCCGCAGUGGC